AUACAGAGGGUGCAAGCGUUAAUCGGAAUUACUGGGCGUAAAGCGCGCGUAGGUGGUUAGUUAAGUUGGAUGUGAAAGCCCUGGACUCAACCUGGGAAUGGCAUUCAAAACUGGCUGACUAGAGUAUGGUAGAGGGAAGGGGAAUUCCAGGUGUAGCGGUGAAAUGCGUAGAUAUCUGGAGGAACAUCAGUGGCGAAGGCGCCUUCCUGGACUAAUACUGACACUGAGGUACGAAAGCGUGGGUAGCAAACAGGAUUAGAAACCCUAGUAGUCC
rnacentral:rRNA from 1 species